rnacentral:rRNA from 1 species
CCUACGGGAGGCAGCAGUAGGGAAUCUUCCACAAUGGGCGCAAGCCUGAUGGAGCAACACCGCGUGAGUGAAGAAGGGUUUCGGCUCGUAAAGCUCUGUUGUUGGAGAAGAACGUGCGUGAGAGUAACUGUUCACGCAGUGACGGUAUCCAACCAGAAAGUCACGGCUAACUACGUGCCAGCAGCCGCGGUAAUACGUAGGUGGCAAGCGUUAUCCGGAUUUAUUGGGCGUAAAGCGAGCGCAGGCGGUUGCUUAGGUCUGAUUUGAAAGCCUUCGGCUUAACCGAAGAAGUGCAUCGGAAACCGGGCAACUUGAGUGCAGAGGAGGACAGUGGAACUCCAUGUGUAGCGGUGGAAUGCGUAGAUAUAUGGAAGAACACCAGUGGCGAAGGCGGCUGUCUGGUCUGCAACUGACGCUGAGGCUCGAAAGCAUGGGUAGCGAACAGGAUUAGAUACCCUAGUAGUC